AUGUAUGUGGCCUGCGGCUCCUCGGCUUGGAGUUGGUUAAGGGACGUCACGGGUCAGCCCAAGCGCCCGCACAGCGUCGAGACCUUCAGGAUCAGGGACGUGAGCCGUCACGCCGCCCGUGCCUGCGAGCUAUGCACCGCGAUCAGCCGCCUCAGACAAUUGUGCGGCGAAUCAUGUCAUCAGCUGCGGCCCCAGAAGAUCCCAACGGGAGCGGGAGGAUUUACGUCCUCAUUCUCGUUGUUCUUGGCGCUUCAUCAUGGUGUCAUGCAUGCUGUUCUACAUCGUCGCCCAGAAAAGCGAGUACGGCCUGUCGGGAGAGAAGCAGUACAAUGUGAGCAACUGAGCAUACACUUGUGA
rnacentral:rRNA from 1 species